AUGCUCCUCAGGCGCGUCCAAGUGCUUGUACAGUCAGCCAGCAGUGUUUCAAAGAGUACAGAGGGGGACUUGCCGCAGUUUUAAGGAUGGAGAGAUGAAACAAGGGUCUGUUUGGGGCAGAGGACAUCGGUAAUGGAGAGAAGUUCACUUUCAGGCAGGGUGGGCAGGAGGAGCCGCAGGACCUCGAGGAGAACUUCAGCUGACACCUGACUCUGUUUCACCAAUCGAGACGCAAAGUCCAGAAAAUUCCUCAUCAGUCCCUGAGAUAACACUGACAUGAUGGCCCACCUCUCAGCCAACAGCGAGAUGACCUGAUCACACUUGUGGAGUGCCUCCUGGAGGACAGCCACCAUCCUGCA